rnacentral:snRNA from 1 species
GCGCUCGCUUCGGCAGCACAUAUACUCAAGUUGGAACAAUCCAGAGAUUAGCAUGGCCCCUGCACAAGGAUGACACGCGAAUCUGUGAAGCAUUCCAUAUAAAG